GAUGAACGCUGGCGGCGUGCCUAAUACAUGCAAGUCGAGCGAACAGAUGAGGAGCUUGCUCCUCUGACGUUAGCGGCGGACGGGUGAGUAACACGUGGUUAACCUACCUCUAAGACUGGGAUACCUUCGGGAAACCGGAGCUAAUACCGGAUAAUAUAUUGAACCGCAUGGUUCAAUAGUGAAAGACGGUUUUGCUGUCACUUAUAGAUGGACCCGCGCCGCAUUAGCUAGUUGGUAAGGUAACGGCUUACCAAGCCAACGAUGCGUAGCCGACCUGAGAGGGUGAUCGGCCACACUGGAGCGAGGACGCGGUCCAACCUCCUGCGUGAGGCAGCGGCAGGAAUCCUACCGCAAUGAGCAAAGGCGUGACGGGGAAACGCGGCGUGAGUGAGAAAGAGCUUCGGAGCGUAAAUCAUUGUUGUUGGGAGGAACAAAUGUGUAAGUAACUAUGCACGUCUUGACGGUACCGAAUCAGAAAGCCACGGCUAACUACGUG
rnacentral:rRNA from 1 species